rnacentral:rRNA from 1 species
AUGAACGCUGACAGAAUGCUUCACACAUGCAAGUCACCUUGAACUUCGGUUUGGGUGGCGGACGGGUGAGUAACGCGUAAAGAACUUGCCUCACAGAUAGGGACAACAUUUGGAAACGAAUGCUAAUACCUGAUAUUAUGAUUAUAUGGCAUCGUAUAAUUAUGAAAGCUAUAUGCGCUGUGAGAGAGCUUUGCGUCCCAUUAGCUAGUUGGAGAGGUAACGGCUCACCAAGGCGAUGAUGGGUAGCCGGCCUGAGAGGGUGAUCGGCCACAAGGGGACUGAGACACGGCCCUUACUCCUACGGGAGGCAGCAGUGGGGAAUAUUGGACAAUGGACCAAGAGUCUGAUCCAGCAAUUCUGUGUGCACGAUGAAGUUUUUCGGAAUGUAAAGUGCUUUCAGUUGGGAAGAAAAAAAUGACGGUACCAACAGAAGAAGUGACGGCUAAAUACGUG